rnacentral:rRNA from 1 species
GGUAUCCUGUCUGAAUAUGGGGGGACCAUCCUCCAAGGCUAAAUACUCCUGACUGACCGAUAGUGAACCAGUACCGUGAGGGAAAGGCGAAAAGAACCCCGGCGAGGGGAGUGAAAAAGAACCUGAAACCGUGUACGUACAAGCAGUGGGAGCACCCUUUGGGGUGUGACUGCGUACCUUUUGUAUAAUGGGUCAGCGACUUAUAUUCUGUAGCAAGGUUAACCGAAUAGGGGAGCCGGAGGGAAACCGAGUCUUAAUUGGGCGUUAAGUUGCAGGGUAUAGACCCGAAACCCGGUGAUCUAGCCAUGGGCAGGUUGAAGGUUGGGUAACACUAACUGGAGGACCGAACCGACUAAUGUUGAAAAAUUAGCGGAUGACCUGUGGCUGGGGGUGAAAGGCCAAUCAAACCGGGAGAUAGCUGGUUCUCCCCGAAAGCUAUUUAGGUAGCGCCUCGUGAAUUCAUCUCCGGGGGUAGAGCACUGUUUCGGCUAGGGGGCCAUCCCGGCUUACCAACCCGAUGCAAACUGCGAAUACCGGAGAAUGUUAUCACGGGAGACACACGGCGGGUGCUAACGUCCGUCGUGAAGAGGGAAACAACCCAGACCGCCAGCUAAGGUCCCAAAGUCAUGGUUAAGUGGGAAACGAUGUGGGAAGGCCCAGACAGCCAGGAUGUUGGCUUAGAAGCAGCCAUCAUUUAAAGAAAGCGUAAUAGCUCACUGGUCGAGUCGGCCUGCGCGGAAGAUGUAACGGGGCUAAACCAUGCACCGAAGCUGCGGCAGCGACACUCAGGUGUUGUUGGGUAGGGGAGCGUUCUGUAAGCCUGCGAAGGUGGCCUGUGAGGGUUGCUGGAGGUAUCAGAAGUGCGAAUGCUGACAUAAGUAACGAUAAAGCGGGUGAAAAGCCCGCUCGCCGGAAGACCAAGGGUUCCUGUCCAACGUUAAUCGGGGCAGGGUGAGUCGACCCCUAAGGCGAGGCCGAAAGGCGUAGUCGAUGGGAAACGGGUUAAUAUUCCCGUACUUGGUGUUACUGCGAAGGGGGGACGGAGAAGGCUAUGUUGGCCGGGCGACGGUUGUCCCGGUUUAAGCGUGUAGGUGUGUGUUCCAGGUAAAUCCGGUUCACUUUAACACUGAGGCGUGAUGACGAGGCACUACGGUGCUGAAGCAACAAAUGCCCUGCUUCCAGGAAAAGCCUCUAAGCAUCAGGUAACAUCAAAUCGUACCCCAAACCGACACAGGUGGUCAGGUAGAGAAUACCAAGGCGCUUGAGAGAACUCGGGUGAAGGAACUAGGCAAAAUGGUGCCGUAACUUCGGGAGAAGGCACGCUGACACGUAGGUGAAGUGAUUUACUCAUGGAGCUGAAGUCAGUCGAAGAUACCAGCUGGCUGCAACUGUUUAUUAAAAACACAGCACUGUGCAAACACGAAAGUGGACGUAUACGGUGUGACGCCUGCCCGGUGCCGGAAGGUUAAUUGAUGGGGUCAGCGCAAGCGAAGCUCCUGAUCGAAGCCCCGGUAAACGGCGGCCGUAACUAUAACGGUCCUAAGGUAGCGAAAUUCCUUGUCGGGUAAGUUCCGACCUGCACGAAUGGCGUAAUGAUGGCCAGGCUGUCUCCACCCGAGACUCAGUGAAAUUGAACUCGCUGUGAAGAUGCAGUGUACCCGCGGCAAGACGGAAAGACCCCGUGAACCUUUACUAUAGCUUGACACUGAACAUUGAGCCUUGAUGUGUAGGAUAGGUGGGAGGCUUUGAAGUGUGG